UACGAAGGGGGCGAGCGUUGUUCGGAAUCACUGGGCGUAAAGGGUGCGUGGGUGGUCGGGUAAGUCUGAUGUGAAAUCUCUGGGCUCAACCCAGAAAUGGCAUUGGAUACUAUUCGGCUAGAGGAGUGGAGGGGGGACUGGAAUACUUGGUGUAGCAGUGAAAUGCGCAGAUAUCAAGUGGAACACCAGUGGCGAAGGCGAGUCCCUGGACACUUCCUGACACUGAGGCACGAAAGCUAGGGGAGCAAACAGG
rnacentral:rRNA from 1 species